rnacentral:rRNA from 1 species
AGAGCGAACGCUGGCGGCAGGCCUAACACAUGCAAGUCGAACGAACUCUUCGGAGUUAGUGGCGGACGGGUGAGUAACACGUGGGAACGUGCCUUUUGGUUCGGAAUAGCUCCUGGAAACGGGUGGUAAUGCCGAAUGUGCCCUUCGGGGGAAAGAUUUAUCGCCAUUAGAGCGGCCCGCGUCUGAUUAGCUAGUUGGUGAGGUAAAGGCUCACCAAGGCUACGAUCAGUAGCUGGUCUGAGAGGAUGACCAGCCACAUUGGGACUGAGACACGGCCCAAACUCCUACGGGAGCAGCAGUGGGAAUCUUGCGCAAUGGGCGAAAGCCUGACGCAGCCAUGCCGCGUGAAUGAUGAAGGUCUUAGGAUUAGUAAAAUUCUUUACAGGUAGGACGAUAAUGAACGGUACCUAACAGAAGAACGCCCGAUAACUUCGUGCCAGCAGCCGAC